rnacentral:rRNA from 1 species
CCUACGGGUGGCAGCAGUGAGGAAUAUUGGUCAAUGGACGAGAGUCUGAACCAGCCAAGUAGCGUGAAGGAUGACUGCCCUAUGGGUUGUAAACUUCUUUUAUAAAGGAAUAAAACGAGGCACGUGUGCCUUUUUGCAUGUACUUUAUGAAUAAGGAUCGGCUAACUCCGUGCCAGCAGCCGCGGUAAUACGGAGGAUCCGAGCGUUAUACGGAUUUAUUGGGUUUAAAGGGAGCGUAGAUGGGUUGUUAAGUCAGUUGUGAAAGGUUGCGGCUCAACCGUAAAAUUGCAAUUGAUACUGGCAGUCUUGAUGACAGUUGAGGUAGGCGGAAUUCGUGGUGUAGCGGUGAAAUGCUUAGAUAUCACGAAGAACCCCGAUUGCGAAGGCAGCUUACUAAACUGUGACUGACAUUGAUGCUCGAAAUUGUGGGUAUCAAACAGGAUUAGAUACCCCUGUAGUC